GGAGAAGGGAACAUGCUGAGCCACGAAUUCAGCCCAAGCUCUGUGUCUCGGGGAAAACAUCACCGGCACCGUCUCACCUCGUGAAAUAAAAUACACACUAAGUGCCAAAAGAGAGACUUUCAUCCGGCCAGAAGACUCCCACUAAGGAGCAGAAGCAGGUAAAUGGGAUCGUUUGUGUAACAUGUCAACGCCUUUCAUCUCCAUUAUUCUCUUGUUGUUUGUCAUUUUUCUCCUCUUUCAUUUGUUCUCACAUCAAGAGGUUCUUAAUUUAGCAGAAACCCGAAAGUCAUGAUAAUGGGUCUAGUCGUCUCAUUGACGAAUCAGAAAGAAAAGCAAUUUAAAUCUAUCUCUUUCUCUCUUUCUCUCUCUCUCUCUCCGUCUGUUUUCACUGUUUUUCCUCUGUCCCCUGUGGUGUGUACUGCACUCCAAAUCUGGAAGCUUGAAUUUAAAAUGUAAUAACUCAUGCGAUCUGUAAAACUCAGCCAGAGUAUAUGAAAGCAGCCUUCAAUCAUUUCGGCACUGAGAUAUUCUGCCAAAUGUGCGAGUCAUGUGCAAGUGGGUGAAAUUGGUUAAGUGAUUUCAAGCAGGUGCUCUUGGAACCAGGAAGCUGUGUGAAGACAGAAGCUCUAAAAGCCAAUCAAAAACACUAAAAUGUGAAACACGCCACUUAAUCUUAAGAGUUUUGAUUAUUCUGCUUCUCUACAUUCAACUUCCAGACUCUCUGCAGUGAACUCAGCUGGCGACAGGUUUGUGAUUUUAAAAGUAGGAGUUUGAAAUCUGUAAUAAUUGCACAAUUAAUUUUGAGCAAAAAACGUCUGAAGGCUUACGAAAUACUGAAUGCAGAGGUUUUCCAACACGGAUUCAAGAACUCUAAAAUCCUCUCCUUCGGUGUUGCAUGCUGGGGGGUUUCUCUCUCUGAGUGCAGAGAAACAAACAGAUUGAAACAGCCUGAACGUCUUUGGGCAAGAACUGCUGGAGGGCCAAUCAAUAAUGUUUGCUCCAAGAUGGUACAUUACUACCCAGCUCUGUCAGCACUAGACUGUAACUACCUCCUCCAUCUGUCCAGGUUGGACUUUCAUUUUGUCUGUGUCAGUUGUUGUCUGUCUGUUGUCCGGUCUCUGUAUGUCUUGACUUGCUGGUCGGCCGUUUACUCCACCUGCGUGUCUUCUCUUGUCGUUCACCUGUUUGCAGUUGUAUGUCACAUUUAGUCUGUAAGCUUUUAUGUUGUAUCUCUGACAUUAUGUUUUUAUUCUGUCCAUUUUAACAUUGUUCUCCCCUAUUUUAUUUGCUUUAUCUGUAGAUUGUAUUUGCAAUCUUAUGUUUUUAGGUUUGUUCUUAACAUCAGCAACAUUGGGACUACAGAUGAAAAAUAGCCUCUUGGCUAACUCUGGCACAUUUACUGCAAUGUUUUUAUCAAUGUGCACUGUCCCUUAUUAAAUAAACCAUUUAAAUAAAAUAAAAAUACAACCAA